AAACAACUUGGAAGCACCCAACAACAAAUAUACCAAUGGUACUUGAAGAAGAACCUCCACUGAUAAUCUUAAAACAUAGAGAUGGGAUUAUCAAAAGACAUUCUCUUAGACUAUCCUAAUUCAUAGACAGAACAUAUGAAGGUUAAUGGAGAUCAAUUUAGAAGGAUACUGAAAUGAAAAAGCUGGUAACAAUAAAGAAACACCACUGCUGAUCCAGAGGCUUGCAGCAGUUGC